rnacentral:rRNA from 1 species
CUACGGGUUGCUGCAGUGGGGAAUAUUGCGCAAUGGGCGAAAGCCUGACGCAGCAACGCCGUGUGAGGGAUGAAGGCUUUCGGGUCGUAAACCUCUGUCAGAAGGGAAGAACGGGUAUUGGUCUAAUAGGCCUUUAUUUUGACGGUACCUUCAGAGGAAGCACCGGCUAACUCCGUGCCAGCAGCCGCGGUAAUACGGAGGGUGCAAGCGUUAUUCGGAAUUACUGGGCGUAAAGCGCACGUAGGCCGCUUUGUAAGUCAGGGGUGAAAUCCCACGGCUCAACCGUGGAACUGCCUUUGAAACUGCAGAGCUUGAAUCCUGGAGGGGGUGGCGGAAUUCCUGGUGUAGGAGUGAAAUCCGUAGAUAUCAGGAGGAACACCGGUGGCGAAGGCGGCCACCUGGACAGGUAUUGACGCUGAGGUGCGAAAGUGUGGGGAGCAAACAGGAUUAGAUACCCCAGUAGUC